UACGUAUGGAGCAAGCGUUAUCCGGAUUUACUGGGCGUAAAGGGAGCGUAGGCGGCCUGCCAAGUCUGAUGUGAAAUACCGGGGCUCAACCCCGGGGCUGCAUUGGAAACUGGCAGGCUGGAGUGCCGGAGAGGCAGGCGGAAUUCCUAGUGUAGCGGUGAAAUGCGUAGAUAUUAGGAGGAACACCAGUGGCGAAGGCGACUUUCUGGACUGUACCUGACGCUGAGGCGCGAAAGCGUGGGUAGCGAACGGG
rnacentral:rRNA from 1 species